rnacentral:rRNA from 1 species
GGUCAAGUGAAGAAGCGCAUACGGUGGAUGCCUUGGCAGUCAGAGGCGAUGAAAGACGUGGUAGCCUGCGAAAAGCUUCGGGGAGUCGGCAAACAGACUUUGAUCCGGAGAUCUCUGAAUGGGGGAACCCACCUAGGAUAACCUAGGUAUCUUGUACUGAAUCCAUAGGUGCAAGAGGCGAACCAGGGGAACUGAAACAUCUAAGUACCCUGAGGAAAAGAAAUCAACCGAGAUUCCCUUAGUAGUGGCGAGCGAACGGGGAUUAGCCCUUAAGCUUCAUUGAUUUUAGCGGAACGCUCUGGAAAGUGCGGCCAUAGUGGGUGAUAGCCCCGUACGCGAAAGGAUCUUUGAAGUGAAAUCGAGUAGGACGGAGCACGAGAAACUUUGUCUGAACAUGGGGGGACCAUCCUCCAAGGCUAAAUACUACUGACUGACCGAUAGUGAACCAGUACCGUGAGGGAAAGGCGAAAAGAACCCCGGAGAGGGGAGUGAAAUAGAACCUGAAACCGUAUGCGUACAAGCAGUGGGAGCCUACUUGUUAGGUGACUGCGUACCUUUUGUAUAAUGGGUCAGCGACUUAUAUUCAGUGGCAAGCUUAACCGUAUAGGGUAGGCGUAGCGAAAGCGAGUCUUAAUAGGGCGUUUAGUCGCUGGGUAUAGACCCGAAACCGGGCGAUCUAUCCAUGAGCAGGUUGAAGGUUAGGUAACACUGACUGGAGGACCGAACCCACUCCCGUUGAAAAGGUAGGGGAUGACUUGUGGAUCGGAGUGAAAGGCUAAUCAAGCUCGGAGAUAGCUGGUUCUCCUCGAAAGCUAUUUAGGUAGCGCCUCAUGUAUCACUCUGGGGGGUAGAGCACUGUUUCGGCUAGGGGGUCAUCCCGACUUACCAAACCGAUGCAAACUCCGAAUACCCAGAAGUGCCGAGCAUGGGAGACACACGGCGGGUGCUAACGUCCGUCGUGAAAAGGGAAACAACCCAGACCGCCAGCUAAGGUCCCAAAGUUGUGGUUAAGUGGUAAACGAUGUGGGAAGGCUUAGACAGCUAGGAGGUUGGCUUAGAAGCAGCCAUCCUUUAAAGAAAGCGUAAUAGCUCACUAGUCGAGUCGGCCUGCGCGGAAGAUGUAACGGGGCUCAAACCACACACCGAAGCUGCGGGUGUCACGUAAGUGACGCGGUAGAGGAGCGUUCUGUAAGCCUGUGAAGGUGAGUUGAGAAGCUUGCUGGAGGUAUCAGAAGUGCGAAUGCUGACAUGAGUAACGACAAUGGGUGUGAAAAACACCCACGCCGAAAGACCAAGGGUUCCUGCGCAACGUUAAUCGACGCAGGGUUAGUCGGUUCCUAAGGCGAGGCUGAAAAGCGUAGUCGAUGGGAAACAGGUUAAUAUUCCUGUACUUCUGGUUACUGCGAUGGAGGGACGGAGAAGGCUAGGCCAGCUUGGCGUUGGUUGUCCAAGUUUAAGGUGGUAGGCUGAAAUCUUAGGUAAAUCCGGGGUUUCAAGGCCGAGAGCUGAUGACGAGUCGUCUUUUAGAUGACGAAGUGGUUGAUGCCAUGCUUCCAAGAAAAGCUUCUAAGCUUCAGGUAACCAGGAACCGUACCCCAAACCGACACAGGUGGUCGGGUAGAGAAUACCAAGGCGCUUGAGAGAACUCGGGUGAAGGAACUAGGCAAAAUGGCACCGUAACUUCGGGAGAAGGUGCGCCGGCUAGGGUGAAGGAUUUACUCCGUAAGCUCUGGCUGGUCGAAGAUACCAGGCCGCUGCGACUGUUUAUUAAAAACACAGCACUCUGCAAACACGAAAGUGGACGUAUAGGGUGUGACGCCUGCCCGGUGCCGGAAGGUUAAUUGAUGGGGUUAGCGCAAGCGAAGCUCUUGAUCGAAGCCCCGGUAAACGGCGGCCGUAACUAUAACGGUCCUAAGGUAGCGAAAUUCCUUGUCGGGUAAGUUCCGACCUGCACGAAUCGUAACGAUGGCGGCGCUGUCUCCACCCGAGACUCAGUGAAAUUGAAAUCGCUGUGAAGAUGCAGUGUAUCCGCGGCUAGACGGAAAGACCCCGUGAACCUUUACUGUAGCUUUGCACUGGACUUUGAGCCUGCUUGUGUAGGAUAGGUGGGAGGCUUUGAAGCGUGGACGCCAGUUCGCGUGGAGCCAUCCUUGAAAUACCACCCUGGCAUGCUUGAGGUUCUAACUCUGGUCCGUGAUCCGGAUCGAGGACAGUGUAUGGUGGGCAGUUUGACUGGGGCGGUCUCCUCCUAAAGAGUAACGGAGGAGUACGAAGGUGCGCUCAGACCGGUCGGAAAUCGGUCGCAGAGUAUAAAGGCAAAAGCGCGCUUGACUGCGAGACAGACACGUCGAGCAGGUACGAAAGUAGGUCUUAGUGAUCCGGUGGUUCUGUAUGGAAGGGCCAUCGCUCAACGGAUAAAAGGUACUCCGGGGAUAACAGGCUGAUACCGCCCAAGAGUUCAUAUCGACGGCGGUGUUUGGCACCUCGAUG